UAUAAAAAAUAUACUUCGACAAUUGAGGCCAAAAAAGAAACAAGUUAGUUUUUAAAGAAAAACAUAAAAAAGUGAAAAAAAUAUUUUGAAAUUAAAAAAAAUCUAAAAAAAAAAAAAUACUAAAACUUGUCUCCUGCUUGCAAAAUUAAAAGGAUACUUAAAAAUUAUUCGUUAAACCGGUCCUAUGGCAGUUCUAAAACAAUUAAUAAUCAGACGUUGAUGACAAUGCUGGCAAUGAUAAUGAUGGUGAAGGCAACUAACUGAUGCUUAAACAAUGAUAAAAAUAACAACAUUUUAUAAACAAUAGAAACAACAAGAAAUUAUAUAAAUCAGCAACAACAACCAGCUAAAUUGUUUAAACAACAGUUUGCGUGAAAAAAACAACGAAAUCCAAAACAAGAACCUGAUCCUAAUGAAAUUUUAAAUUUAUAACGAAAAAUCUUAAACACUGCUGAAGGCAGUCAACAGGAAACUAAAGGGGUUUGAGUAAAAAUUGUUUUAACAAGUGAAGGGAAUAAAACCCUUAUCAAAAAUCAAACACACAUACAAAUAUUUUUACACAUGUGUCAUAGAGCGUAAAAAUCAUAAAAACAACAAAAAAUUGUAUUAAUCAUUUUUUUUUUGUUUAUAAAAAAGAAUUACUGUGUGUGUGAAUUUGUGUAAAACUAGACCAAUUUAUAUCGGUAUAAAUUUUUUUGUUGUCAUCGCCGGAGUUUUUAUACAUUCAGUGAAAAA